GGGAGGAACCAUGGACAUCUUGGGCGUGGUGGUUAGGAGUAAUAUGUACAGUCCUGGUUCUUUGGAUGAUUUUGUAUUUCUGUUGGCAUGAACGAAGGAGGAUUUGUGGGAAAAAGCGCCCCCCCCUCCUCCAUCCCUUUGAUGAUUCUUUUAUUGUUCUUUGUAUGUCUGACUGUUGGGGAGGAUAAUACAGGCAUAGGAGUCCGGCGGGGGACAGCCCUGUUGAGUAAAACCUCCAGAAAGGAGGACUAUCACAAACUGUGGGAAAAGAAUAUCUAUGUGAGAGAUAUGUUCAAGUUUGCUACUCUGUUGAAGGCUUCAAAUUGUUGGUUAUGUAUGCACAUUCCACCUCAUACGAGGCAUUCCGGCUUAAUGCUACAUGGCAUACCUAUUGACAGGAACUUUUCCAUAACUAAUAAGAUAAAUCCCAAUGAUAUUAAGCGGCCCCCUGUAAUGCUCACGCUUUUCGAACCUGCUCACAUUUGCUUUAAAUUCUCUGAAGGAUCCAGGUCAUGGGGAGUUUACCCCAACUGUUUGCGUAUUAUGGAUUUCAAGUUCAACAGUUCAUGUUCCAAUUUAAUCAACCAUGGCAGCACCUCCCAUUGCUAUCUCUCUGACACUAGUGCAUGGUUGAAAACCACUGAACAGUAUCUUCAGGGGAGGAACUGGGGUUACAACUCCUCCAUUCCUGCAUUAGUAACUAAUUUUGCUGCUUCUUUGCUUCUGUAUCCCCUGCUUGAUGCAAUGUAUGCAAAGUAUGAUGCAAAAGAUGAUAUCCCGCUCGAUGGGUCCCCGUGUGAUAGCUUACAUGAGGGAAUACCGCCCUGUCCCUGUUGAUGCACCUGUCAGUGAUCACAAAGAAGAGGAGGGAAUGAAGGAGAAAGAGGCCCCCUUCUAAUGAAGGAUAAAGAGGCCCCCUUCUAAUGAAGGAGAAAGAGGCCCUGUUCUUAUCUUAUCACAACAGCCCUGAUGAGACAGGCCCAAGGCCCAAGUAAGCCCAGGCGGUGAUCACGCUCCUCACAUGCACAAUACUAACCACAGUCACGAGCUUCCCUGCUGAUAAGCACACCCUGAGCAUGCGGUGGGCACGCCUUGAGCAUGAGGUGUACAUGACUUGGGCACGAGCACAGUCAGUACGUGGGGGGCUGGACACAUGAAUGGGAUAGGCUCAGGGGGCUGAACAGGGCGAAGAAACCAAUGUAUAAAAGGCUUUGCAUGACCUGUAUGUGUGUGCCAGACUUUGGAAGCAAUUCCGCUGGUACCUGCUGCGCAGUAACCGAAUAAACUUUUUCUCUGUGGAAUCACACCCUGGC